rnacentral:rRNA from 1 species
AUUGAACGCUGGCGACAGGCCUAACACAUGCAAGUCGAACGAGUGGCGGACGGGUGAGUAAUGUCUGGGAAACUGCCCGAUGGAGGGGGAUAACUACUGGAAACGGUAGCUAAUACCGCAUACCAUCGGAUGUGCCCAGAUGGGAUUAGCUAGUAGGUGGGGUAACGGCUCACCUAGGAGACGAUCCCUAGCUGGUCUGAGAGGAUGACCAGCCAGACUGGAACUGAGACACGGGACAGACUCCUACGGGAGGCAGCAUUGGGGAAUAUUGCACAAUGGGCGCAAGCCUGAUGCAGCCAUGCAGCGUGUAUGAAGAAGGCCUUCGGGUUGUAAAGUACUUUCAGCGAGGAGGCGUUACGCGCAGAAGAAGCACCGGCUAACUCCGUGCCAGCAGCCGCGGUAAUAG